AAGUCGUAACAAGGUUUCCGUAGGUGAACCUGCGGAAGGAUCAUUAAUGAAAUUUAUGACUGGAGUUGUAGCUGGCCCUUAAAAACGGCAUGUGCACGCUCCUUUCACUAAUCCACACACACCUGUGCACCUUCGCGGGGGUCUUCUUUGUUAACUCGGAGAAGGCUCGCGUCCCUUUACACACCCUUUGUAUGUCUUAAGAAUGUCUACUCGAUGUAAUAAAACGCAUCUAAUACAACUUUCAACAACGGAUCUCUUGGCUCUC
rnacentral:misc_RNA from 1 species